GGGGACGUAGUUUAUAUAAAAACAUUUAAUUUGCAUUUAAAAAAAAUUUUAUUAAUCUUCCUUU
rnacentral:tRNA from 1 species